GAUGAACGCUGGCGGCGUGCCUAAUACAUGCAAGUCGAGCGAACAGACGAGGAGCUUGCUCCUCUGACGUUAGCGGCGGACGGGUGAGUAACACGUGGAUAACCUACCUAUAAGACUGGGAUAACUUCGGGAAACCGGAGCUAAUACCGGAUAAUAUAUUGAACCGCAUGGUUCAAUAGUGAAAGACGGUUUUGCUGUCACUUAUAGAUGGAUCCGCGCCGCAUUAGCUAGUUGGUAAGGUAACGGCUUACCAAGGCGACGAUGCGUAGCCGACCUGAGAGGGUGAUCGGCCACACUGGAACUGAGACACGGUCCAGACUCCUACGGGAGGCAGCAGUAGGGAAUCUUCCGCAAUGGGCGAAAGCCUGACGGAGCAACGCCGCGAGAGUGAUGAAGGUCUUCGGAUCGUAAAACUCUGUUAUUAGGGAAGAACAAAUGUGUAAGUAACUAUGCACGUCUUGACGGUACCUAAUCAGAAAGCCACGGCUAACUACGUG
rnacentral:rRNA from 1 species